rnacentral:lncRNA from 1 species
AUAGAGACAUGGUGAAGUGCCUCCUAACAGAGCAGAAGUGACCCCAUCGAAGACUACUUCUUGGGGAGGAUUUCACACAGUUCAUCAUCAAGCAAAGAUCAUUGCCUUCUGAGCAGAAGAGACUCUAAAUAAAUAUAGAAGAAUAGAAAUCUGAAGUGGAAAGUUGUAGCCAGAGCAUGCAUAUGAUACUGGCAGAUCUUUUCUAAAGAGAAAUUCAUUUUCCAUAAAUGCUUUACAAUGGAUCCUGACGAUAAGACAUCUUGCCAAAUGAUUUGCUGCUCAUCAUAAAGAUUUCCCAGUAAAUAAAAUUUCCAGGCUCAUCUCCUGUUAUUGCAUGAAUGUUUUGGAACUACAUCUCAGGAAAUAAGUGAGGAUUGCAAAUUAUGACUUUCAGGUUGGAAAUCCAGCAAUGAACUUUGUUGACUUGGUCUGGCCAUACUGGCCAUGGCUUAGCAUUUGACAGAACUUUAGGGUCUACAGUUUCUCCGCAAAGGAAGUUCUGAGCAAUGGAAGCAAGGCUGGGCUGAGCAAAAAACUUCCUAAAGUGAUUUUGGUUUCAGAAAUCUGAUUUAUUCUCUCAGAAUCACACAUAACAUUCUCAGCUCCGAGAGAGUGUGCGCAUCACUUUAGAAAGAACUCUUGACUGGAAAGCAGUAGAUGUAGGUUCAAGUUUAGUUCCCCAGUUUGGUAGGUGAGGGGAACCCCUCCUCUGUCAUGUGAGAGAGAAACACCUUGUCCAUCCGCACCUACAGAGUUGCAUGGAUCUACGCUGGACAUAGCUCAAAAACAAUGCAUGAGAAAGAAUAGAAAGAGCAUUGGACAUGGAGCCUCUGUAGGGCUGAAUUCCUGCUCACCACUUACUCCUGAUACUGGGAAGAUUUUCAACGUCUCCAAGACUGGGGUUUUUCAUUUGCAAAAGGAGGGCUGCAGGAACUUGGAGUACUACAUGUAAUAACAUACUGGUCAUCACUCUUGGCAAAUAUUGAAAGCUUCACUUGGUCCCUGACACCUAAAGGAUAAAGAAGAGCUUGAUGAUCUGAUGUGAGGACCCGGCUUGGGGAUGACGGCAGAUCCUAUCUCCCUUCUCUCCAGUCUCAAUUCUAGCAAGCAGCAUCUUUCAGCUUAUGUUGGGGAGUGAAGCAGGAUCUGUGACCUAGGACCGAAGCUGGCGCCUGGCGGGACGACUCAGACACCAGACUUUGGACCACAAUACCAUCAACUAUUAGUGUCUGUCUCUCCAGGAUCCCUAGCAACUAAUGUUAUUUUUAGUGACUGACUCUUUAAUAUGUACUGCUUGUGAAUAUGAAUUUAAAUGUUAUGUCCAGGGCACACAGCAGUGCACACAGCACUAGCAGUUGGGGCAAUUGAGGUAUUAAUUUUCUACUCGGUAACUCGCAUCGUCAUCCACAACCUGCAGAGCAAAGCCCAAACUCUGUACCGCAGCACUCAAGACCCUCUAUUAGCUGACUCCAUCCUAACUGCCUAGUGCCAUGUUCCAGUCACAGGACCUGGGGUCCUGUCAUACAGACAUGUUCCAUUUCCAAAUAAGCCAUGCAGAGCUCUGCAUCUGUGCUGAGCUGCUCCUUCGGCCGAGAAGGUCGUUUCUGUCUUCUGUGGCUGAAACUCAUGCUCCCUCAGGGUCCACAGCUGUGUACUAAGUGCUGGUGCUGGCACAGUGAUGCACGUCCUUCUCACAUCAAACUCGGACAGGGCUAGGGUGUGGCCUCAGAACAGCCCACUUCUCCUUAGCAGCACAUUAUCUGUCAUCUACUUAUGAGUUCAAAAGUGGAGAUGACAGAAACAAGGAAAUAAAAGUGCAUCUUCAACAUAAGAGGAAGUGCACAGUCUCACUCAUAAUAAGAAAAAUGCUAAGUAAAAAUUCCAGCAAGAUACAGUUUCUAAUCCAGCAGUUUGGCGGAAAGAAGAGAAGUUGGAUGAAACAACUAUGGUCAGGCUGUCAGAAAAAGGGCAUUUUCGUGUAGAAUUGGAAGGUUUGUAAAUGUGUAAAACCACUGAGGAUGACUAUCUCGAAAUACCUAGUAAAUUAUAAAUACACCCUAUCCUUUGACCCAGAAAUUCCACUUCUAAGAAUAUAUCCUACAUAUAGCAGUACACAUGGGAA